AAGGGCAAAGAUAAAAACGCAACGUAAGAGAUAAUCUCGUACAGAGCCGGUAGGUAGCCCGGCCGCACCGCUUGGUGUAAGUAACCCUCCCUCCUUAGGGUCGUCCAUUCUUUGUUCAUCACAA
rfam:Lachnospiraceae bacterium 2_1_46FAA genomic scaffold aclXT-supercont-complete, whole genome shotgun sequence.